rnacentral:lncRNA from 1 species
GAACAGGUUGCCCAAGGAGGUUGUGGAUGCCCCAUCCCUGGAGGCAUUCAAGGCCAGGCUGGAUGUGGCUCUGGGCAGCCUGGUCUGGUGGUUGGUUACCCUGCACAUAGCAGGGGGGUUGAAACUACAUGAUCAUUAUUGUUCUUUUCAACCCAGGCCAUUCUAUGAUUUUAUGAUUUUAUUUCCAAAUCAAUAAUAAUCUAUUGUCGUAUGCUUCCCUAUCUUCACCCACUCUUUUCUCACAGUUUUACUGUCAUUCAGAUUAGGUUUAGUCCUACAUGUCAGGGAUGGAAAAUGUGUCCCGGUUGUGCCGAAGGAACAAGGAAAGAUGUACAAUUUAUUUAACAAAGUUAUGCUGCGGCACACGAGUUCUUUCAGACACAGGGGCGUCUUGGCCAGCUGCAGCUUCUGUUUACUGUUCAACAAACCCUUGGAGUACUGGAGUAGUUGCUAAGCUAUCAGCAAGAGCUGGGAAAGCUGGACAUUACUGUAACUCACAAUUUGAUGUGUGCUCCCUGUGGACGGCUGCUCACUAAAGAAAUUUUGGCCUUUGGCCAGUGUGGUCUGAAGAACUGAAGAGAGUAAAAGAGAAGAAAGGGAAGGCAGGAAGUUAGUAAAUGACUAUUUUUGGAGACUGAGGUGCAAGUAAAAUCACACCUUCUGUGCCUGUCACCUAGGUAACCUUUUGCAAAGCAUUUCACUUUUCUAAAACUAGAUGUGUGAAUUAUUAUACAGGAUCACAGCUAUCUGUGAGGGGCAUCUUCUUCCCACCUGUUCCUUUUCCUUUUUCAAGGAUGAGUACUCUGC